CACAUUCACUACUGUAAGUCGCUCUGGAUAAGAGCAUCUGCUAAAUGACAAAAA
rfam:Salmo salar isolate Sally breed double haploid chromosome ssa20, whole genome shotgun sequence.